ensembl:lncRNA
GAGUACCCUAGCAACCAUUUAGUAAGUAUUAUAUCUUUACAACCGAAAAUCGUACAGACAUGGGGUUUGGUUUAUAUUGGCAAGCAGCCUUUGAGUAUCAUCAUUGACAGAUGCCAAGCCACUCCCUAGCAACCAAACAGAGUACCCUAGCAACCAUUUAGUAAGUAUUAUAUCUUUACAACCGAAAAUCGUACAGACAUGGGGGUUGGUUUAUAUUGGCAAGCAGCCUUUGAGUAUCAUCAUUGACAGAUGCCAAGCCACUCCCUAGCAACCAAACAGAGUACCCUAGCAACCGUUUUGCAAGACCUAUAUCUCUGAAUCAGAACAUCGUACAGACAUGGCGGUUGGUUUACAUUGGCAAGCAGCCUUUGGAGUAUCAUCACUGGCAGCUGUCAGGCCACUCCCUAGCAACCAAACACAGUACCCUAGCAACCAUUUAGUAAGUCUUAUAUCUUUACAACCGAAAUUUGUAUCGACAUGGGACUUGGUUCUUUUGACCCAUGCUAGUAAACAUGAAUUCCAACAUGCUAGUAAUGCUAGCAGUGAACAGCUACAUGCUAAUAGUGAUUAGCUAAGAGAUAAAUCAGGCUAAGAACUCUAUGAAACUAUACAGUAAUGAUCUGUAACAACUAGCAAAUGCAUAGCAAACACCUCAGGUGCC